rnacentral:lncRNA from 1 species
UGAAUCUUGCUGAUCAUCAUGCGCACAAAUGAAUGGGACAUUGUUGUCAGUAAUCUAACUAAACAACCAGCCACGGCAAUCUAACUAAACAGCCAGCCACUUGGUACUUACGCCCAGCGGCCAGCGCAUUCUGGACAACCUGAAAAAUACAAAAACACUGUCCUUUAUUAUAUACGUCAAUAAUUUUUUAACUUCCAAACCAAUUUCAUGAUGUGCAAAAUUUUUAACGACUACAGAAUGUAAGAAUUCCGAUGGAUAGAGCGGAUCAGCAUCAGCAAGAUAAUCAGUUGAUAUAAUAUCACAGCUAACAAUUAUCUUGGAACAACCAGACAUAUACGGUUAUAAAGAGAUCCACUAAUAUCAUCAAGCAUUUUAUUAGUUCCGACGGUUAGCAUAAAUGAAGAAAAACGGAUCACGUGCUAUUAAUAGUAGCAUAUAUGUUAUAUCUUUAGUGGGCAAAAUCACUAAAUUUUUAGAAUGCACAGGCAUGAAGUAGAUGAUGGGGUCAUGUACCUAGGGUAGGGUCACAGACCUGAUCUAAGUAUCCUGCCCGAGGACACCCUUAGAAGAGAUCACCUUCCAGUCGACCUACGAGGGACUCACUCGACUGACUUGAAGGACUCGACCACGAAGACUCACUCGACCACCAGAAGGUCAAGAGGCACUCUGCACUGCAACGUUCUGUAAUUAAGUAGUCUUUAUGAUCGUUAAGACACUUUAUGUGGGGCGUUACCUGUAACGCCCCAGACUUGAUGCACCUUAAACCCUUCAUUACGUGGGCUGGCUGGGGUCCUGGCGCACUCUAUAUAAGCCACCCCCCUCCACAGGCAGAAGGGUUCGGCACCUUGUAAUCCAUAUACACAUAAUCCACUCGACCGCCUCCGGGCUCCGAGACGUAGGGCUUUUACUUCCUCCGAGAAGGGCCUGAACUCGUACAUCUCUUGUGUUUACAACCUCUCCAUAGCUAGGACCUUGCCUCUCCAUACCUACCCCCACUCUACUGUCAGACUUAGAUCCACGACAGUUGGCGCCCACCGUGGGGCAGGCGUUUUAGCGAUUUUGUGGAGAAGUUGCGAUUCUUCCGAGUACUUUCAUCAUGGUGGCUGCUGGAGUUUUGGUCGAGGGUCGAGAGAUCCGUCUCGGUGCUCUCACCUUCGUCGCCGACGACUCCGCCUGGCUCCAGGAGGCUCCACUCGACGUUGAUGCGCUCCCCGUCCGCGGUGCGACGCAUUUUCGCGCAUGUGUCCGCGGCGUUCUGCUGCGGCAACCGUCGACCCCAUAUCGGUCGACUCCCCCAUCGGCCACCCUCCCAGUCUCCCGCCAGCGCAAGCGCUCGGGCCGGUCGAGGCUUCAGCGGUGGGUGAGGCACGCGGUGGCUCGCCAGACGACCACCACCCAAGUUGCGGCAAUCGAGCCCGACGAAUCUCUCUACGGCCUGUUCGAUCUGUCGACUGGCUCCGUAGAGACUGCGUCCGAGUGCGUAGCAGUGAUCCAGCGGCGGAAAUCCUGAUGGUCGACGGGCCCUGCAGCCCCCCUGGCUUCGCCCGUGAUGGUGGGGCAGGCGACGGAGGCGACCCCGCACGAGGCCACGAAGAGUACCAGCCCGAGCCACUCGACUCUCUGCAAAGAGAGGAACUUCGCCGCAGGAACAUGGAUGCCCUGCAUACUCCCAUAGCAGGAGAAACCCCCGAGGCUCGCGCCUUGGAGGAGGCAUGUUUGGCCAACUUGGCCGAACGCGCUCGCUUGGAGAAUCUUCAGCGAGCACUCGACGAGCGCGCGCGGCAACGAGUUCCCGACACCAGUCGAUGUCGACUCUUCCCGCCGACUCAGGUAUAUCGAACCCUAAUCCAGAAUUUAGCAGCUGCGACCCAUAUAGCAGAGUCCAUCCAGCCCUCUCAGUCGGAAGCUGGCAGAGGCUUGAUGCAGAUCAGGGAUCUGCUCCGAGCAGCAGGAGAUCAGAAUUCAGCCGUGUCGCAGUCGCGCAACAGAAUUCACAGUCGAUCUGUCGCUGCGAAUACGGUUCAGUCGGCUCACAAUCCCAGAUCGCCUCCGCGGCGUGAAGGACGCGAGAAUCGGUGAGACCAAUAUGGGGACCGACACGACCGAGAUGAUAGGCGUCGAGUGCCUACUUCCCCUCCGAGGGGUGGGUCCUAUGCUCCUCGGCAGCAAGAUGACAGACGUCAGUUCAGUGUGGGGCGAAGAGUUCCAGUCGACCCCAGAGAACCAGGCUUCGACGCGCGAUCCAUUAUCGUGCAAGGCUUGGUCGACCGGAACAGAGCCCAUCGAGGUGGACCCGACAGAGAUGCGCCCACGAGCAGUCGAGUGCAUGUUUCUGGUCCGGAAUGUUUCAGCAGAGCUAUCAGAGCUGCAGUGAUCCCUCCCAAUUUCAGGUUGGCAACAGGAGUCAACAAGUUCACUGGUGAGUCUAAGCCUGAAACUUGGCUUGAGGACUACCGAGUGGCGGUUCAGAUUGGUGGUGGGAAUGACGAGGUGGCCAUGAAGCAUUUGCCCCUCAUGCUGAAAGGUUCUGCCAGAGCGUGGUUGACUCAGUUACCUCCUAGCAGCAUUUACACUUGGGAAGAUCUGUCCCGAGUGUUCGUCAGAACGUUUGAAGGAACUUGCAAGCGACCGGCUGGAUUGACGGAGCUGCAAGUCUGCAUGCAGAAGACCAAUGAGACUCUCAGGGAGUAUAUUCAGAGGUGGAUCACUUUGCACCAUACUGUGGAGAAUGUGUCUGAUCAUCAAGCAGUCUGCGCCUUCAAGGAUGGUGUCAAGAACAGAGAAUUGAGUUUGAAAUUUGGUUGAACCGGUGACAUGACCUUGGGUCGGAUGAUGGAGAUUGCUACCAAGUAUGCCAACGGCGAAGAAGAAGACCGACUUCGAAGCGGCAAGCACAAGCCGAGCCAGUCGGAAAAGGGAAACACCAGUCGGAAACAGAAGCGGAAGGCUGAACCGGCAGCUCCUGGAGAGGCUCUGGCCGUGACUCACGGAAAGUUUAAAGGGAAACCAAAAGGAUCCUGGAACCCUAAGAAGGUAAAGGAUAAAGAAGGGAACGACGUGAUGGAUAUGCCGUGUCACAUCCACACGAAGAAAGACGAAGAGGGGAAUAUCAUUUACCCAAAGCACACCACUCGCCAAUGUCGACUCCUGAUCCAACAGUUUCAAGGAAAACAGUCCAAAGACAAGGAAAAGGAGUCGGACAGGGUCGAAGACAAGGAAAAGGAGGACAGUGAGGAAGGAUAUCCGCAUGUCAACUCCACUCUGAUGAUCUUUGCAGAUGUGGAAAGCAAGAGUCGAUUGAGAGUCAUUAACCGUGAGGUGAACAUGGUUACCCCAGCAAAAGCAAAUUAUCUGAGAUGGUCCCAAACACCCAUCACAUUCGACCAAUCUGAUCACCCGACUCAUAUUGCCACCCCUGGGAGGCAAGCUUUGGUGGUCGAUCCAGUUGUCGAAGGCACUCGACUGACAAAAGUGCUGAUGGACGGUGGUAGUGGGCUGAAUUUGUUGUAUGCAGACACACUGAAAGGAAUGGGCAUUCCGAUGUCCCGACUGAGCACCAGUAACAUGAGCUUUCAUGGAGUUAUACCAGGGAAGAAAGCCGAGUCACUCGGCCAAAUAGCUCUGGACGUGGUGUUUGGUGAUUCGAAACAUUUUCGCAAAGAGAAGUUGACGUUUGAGGUCGUGGAUUUUCAAAGUGCAUACCAUGCCAUUUUGGGGAGACCAGCUUAUGCACGGUUCAUGGCUCGACCAUGUUACGUGUACCUCAAAUUGAAGAUGCCCGGCCCCAAAGGAGUGAUCACUGUCACCGGUGAUCGGAAAAAGGCAGAAGAGUGCUUUCAGAAGGGCUCAAAGAUUGCUGAUUCUCAGGUGACAGCGGUCGAGUUUGAAGAAUACAAGCAAAACGCAGAUCCGAGUGAUUUGCUGCGAUCCAAGAAACCCGCCACAGAAUCUGCAUUUCAGUCAUCCGGUGAGACGAAGCCUGUUCACAUUCACCCGACCGACCCCGAUGUAGCCCCGACCCACAUCUCCACAACACUCGACCCGAAAUAGGAAGAAGCGCUCAUCCAGUUCCUCCGUGAGAACUGGGACAUUUUUGCAUGGAAGCCCGCUGACAUGCCAGGUGUUCCCAGGGGACUGGCUGAGCAUCGCCUAAGAGUCGAUUCAUCAGCAAAACUAGUCAAAGAGCAUCUUCGGCGGUCCGCCGUCCAGAAGAGAAAAGCCAUUGGUGAGGAAGUGGCUCGACUGUUGGCGGCAGGAUUUAUCCGAGAGAUAUACCACUCCGAGUGGCUCGCUAAUGUCGUCAUGGUUCCUAAGAAGGACAAAUCGCUCCGAAUGUGCAUUGAUUUCAAGCACAUCAACCGGGCCUGCCCGAAAGAUCAUUUUCCUCUCCCUCGCAUAGAUCAAAUUGUUGACUCGACCGCGGGAUGUGAGAGAUUGUCUUUUCUAGACGCCUACUCCGGGUACCACCAGAUCCGUCUGUACGGACCCGACGAGGUAAAAACAGCUUUCAUCACUCCAUUCGGGUGCUUCUGCUAUAUCACCAUGCCAUUCGGCCUCAAGAAUGCCGGAGCCACAUUUAUGCGAAUGAUUCAGAAGUGUCUACUCACUCAAAUCAGUCGGAAUGUGGAAGCGUAUAUGGAUGAUAUCGUCGUCAAAUCACGAAAAGGUUCAAACCUGCUCGCUGACCUCGCCGAAACAUUUGCCAACCUCAGAAGGUAUGAUAUCAAGCUCAAUCCAUCAAAGUGCACAUUCGGAGUUCCUGGUGGCAAGUUACUCGGUUUUCUUGUUUCCGAGCGAGGGAUCGACGCUAAUCCAGAAAAGAUCGGCACUAUUCUCCGAAUGAAACGCCCUGUGCGAGUGCACGAUGUCCAGAAGCUUACUAGAUGCUUGGCCGCAUUAAGUCGAUUCAUCUCACGACUCGGUGAAAAGGCAUUGCCUCUUUACCGACUGAUGAAGAAGGCAGACAAGUUCGAGUGGACUCUAGAAGCUGAUGCAGCGUUUACCGAGCUAAAAGCUCUGCUCUCCACCCAACCGGUGCUUGCUGCCCCAAUCAGCAAAGAGCCUCUGUUGCUUUAUAUCGCAGCCACAGGACAAGUCGUCAGUACUGUGCUUACGGUCGAGCGGGAAGAAGAAGGAAAAGCUUUCAAAGUUCAGCGCCCAGUGUAUUAUUUGUCUGAAGUCUUGACUCCAUCCAAGCAGAGAUAUCCUCAUUAUCAGAAGCUUGUGUAUGGAAUAUACAUGACCACAAAGAAGGUUGCUCAUUAUUUCUCUGAUCAUUCCAUCACAGUCGUCAGCGACGCUCCACUAUCAGAGAUUUUGCACAACAGAGAUGCAACUAGUCGAGUGGCGAAAUGGGCGAUUGAACUUCUUCCCCUUGAUAUCAAGUUUGAGGCAAAGAAAGCCAUUAAGUCCCAGGCAAUAGCAGAUUUCCUCGCCGAGUGGAUUGAACAGCAGCAGCCGACUGAAGUUCACUCGAAGCAUUGGACCAUGUUUUUUGAUGGCUCUAAGAUGUUGAAUGGUUCCGGUGCUGGGGUUGUCCUGGUUUCCCCCAGAGGAGAUAAGCUCAGAUAUGUGCUCCAGAUUCACUUUGAUUCCUCUAACAACGAAGUAUGGGGCCCUCUUAUACGGAUUGUGCAUGGCCAUUUCACUCGGCGUCCGUCGCCUGAUGGUCUAUGGCGAUUCAGAUUUAGUGGUCAACCAAGUGAUGAAGGAGUGGGACGUGAGAAGCCCAGCCAUGACUGGAUACUGCAGUGCAGUGAGGAAGCUGGAAAAGAAGUUCGAGGGGUUGGAGCUCCAUCAUAUACCCCGACUGAAAAAUCAAGCAGCUGAUGAUCUAGCAAAGAUAGGUUCCAAGAGAGGAGCCAUUCCGAGUGGUGUGUUCUUGGAGCAUAUACACACUCGGUCAGUCAAAGAAGAUCCUUUCACCGAAGAAGCUCCACAGCCCAAGAGUGCCAUGGAUCCGACUGAGGUUGAAGUACCAGCAGUGGUCGACUUGGUCAUGGAGGUCUUGGUGGUCGUUCCCGACUGGACAGUUCCAUAUAUCGCGUAUAUCCUGAGAAAAGAGCUUCCGGAGGAUGAGGAAGAGGCUCGACAGAUCGUCCGUCGAUCUAAAGCCUUUACCGUAAUCAAAGGACAGUUAUAUAGAGAAAGCGCGACUGGAGUUGGUCAGAAGUGCAUAACACCAGAAGAAGGUCGAAUCAUCCUUAAUGAUAUCCACUCGGGAACCUGUGGUCAUCAUGCGUCCUCUCGGACCAUCGUGGCCAAAGCAUACCGAGCCGGAUUUUACUGGCCAAAAGCGAAUGAGAUGGCAAAGGAAAUAGUGGAUAAGUGCGAGGGAUGUCAGUUCUACUCGAAUAUGUCGCACAAGCCUGCAUCAGCUCUGAAGACCAUUCCACUCGUCUGGCCUUUCGCAGUAUGGGGGUUGGACAUGGUCGGUCCUUUGAGAGCAGGUCGAAGUGGCUUCACGCAUGUACUGGUGGCAGUCGACAAGUUCACCAAGUGGAUUGAGGCUAAACCAAUCAAGAACCUUGACGCCGGUACUGUUGUUAGCUUCAUCAGGGAACUGAUAUUCAGAUAUGGAGUCCCGCACAGCAUCAUCACGGAUAAUGGGUCGAACUUCGACUCAGAAGAAUUCAGGGAUUUCUGCAACUCUCAAGGCACACGAGUCGACUACGCUUCGGUCGCCCAUCCGCAGACGAAUGGGCAAGCAGAGCGAGCCAAUGGUCUGAUUCUCAAGGGAUUGAAACCCCGACUGAUGCGUGAUCUCAAGCAUGCGGCUGGAGCGUGGGUCGACGUACUUCCCUCGGUGCUUUGGGGACCGCGGACCACACCUAAUCGAUCGACCGGAAGAACUCCAUUCUUCCUGGUCUACGGAGCUGAAGCAGUCUUGCCGAGUGAUCUUCUCCACAAUGCUCCUCGAGUUGAAAUCUACAACGAAGCAGAAGUUGAACAAGCGCGACAGGUCGCAGUUGACCUUUUAGAGGAAGAAAGGGAGAUGGCUCUGAUCCGGUCGACCAUCUACCAACAAGAUUUGCGUCGUUUCCACGCCAGAAAUGUGAGGGGUCGAGCCUUCCAGGAAGGAGAUUUAGUUCUCCGAGUGGAUCAGAAGAAACAACACAAGCUUGCUCCUUCUUGGGAAGGACCCUUCAUCGUCACCAAAGUUCUCCACAACGGGGCGUACCGUCUUUACAACGUCGAACAUGAUAUCGACGAGCCCCGAGCUUGGAACGCGGAACUACUCCGCCCAUUUUACACUUAAGUUUAUCACUCGGAUGAGUUGCAAUAAAAUACUUCUGUAGCUCAUGGAUCUCAAAAUAAUAGUGUCAUAGUUCCUCCAUAAUUUUUGUCACUUUUUAUUUUGUCCAAUAAAAUUUUCCCCUCAGUGGGUGACUUAGCCGCGAAUCCGUUUCGCCUAAGUUUGUAAAAAUCCUACCGAGUGGUGAGCUAGACUCCCACUCGGAGGCUUAGCUGCGAAUCCGUUUCGCCUAAGAUUAAAUAAAAUCCUACCGAGUGGUGAGCCAGACUCCCACUCGGAGGCUUAGCUGCGAAUCCGUUUCGCCUAAGAUUAAAUGAAAAUCCUACCGAGUGGUAAGCCAGACUUCCACUCGGGGGCUUAGCUGCAGUCUAAGUACUCGCCUAAGUUAUGAAAAUCCUACCGAGUGGUAAGCCAGACUUCCACUCGGGGGCUUAGCUGCAGUCCAAGUACUCGCCUAAGUUACAAAAAUCCUACCGAGUGACGAGCAAACCUCUCACUCGGGGGCUUAGCUGCAGCCCAGUGCUCGCCUAAGUUAUAAAAAAAUCCUACCGAGUGAAGAGCAAACCUCUCACUCGGGGGCUUAGCUGCAGCCCCGUGCUCGCCUAAGGUAUAAAAAUCCUACCGAGUGAAGAGCAAACCUCUCACUCGGGGGCUUAGCUGCAGCCCAGUGCUCGCCUAAGAUAUGGAAAUCCUACCGNNNNNNNNNNNNNNNNNNNNNNNNNNNNNNNNNNNNNNNNNNNNNNNNNNNNNNNNNNNNNNNNNNNNNNNNNNNNNNNNNNNNNNNNNNNNNNNNNNNNNNNNNNNNNNNNNNNNNNNNNNNNNNNNNNNNNNNNNNNNNNNNNNNNNNNNNNNNNNNNNNNNNNNNNNNNNNNNNNNNNNNNNNNNNNNNNNNNNNNNNNNNNNNNNNNNNNNNNNNNNNNNNNNNNNNNNNNNNNNNNNNNNNNNNNNNNNNNNNNNNNNNNNNNNNNNNNNNNNNNNNNNNNNNNNNNNNNNNNNNNNNNNNNNNNNNNNNNNNNNNNNNNNNNNNNNNNNNNNNNNNNNNNNNNNNNNNNNNNNNNNNNNNNNNNNNNNNNNNNNNNNNNNNNNNNNNNNNNNNNNNNNNNNNNNNNNNNNNNNNNNNUUAGCUGCAGCCCAGUGCUUGCCUAAGAUAUAAAAAUCCUACCGAGUGAAGAGCAAACCUCUCACUCGGGGGCUUAGCUGCAGCCCAGUGCUCGCCUAAGAUAUAAAAAUCCUACCAAGUGAAGAGCAAACCUCUCACUCGGGGGCUUAGCUGCAGCCCAGCGCUCGCCUAAGUUAUCAAAAUCCUACCGAGUGAAGAGCAAACCUCUCACUCGGGGGCUUAGCUGCAGCCCAGUGCUUGCCUAAGUUAUCAAAAUCCUACCGAGUGAAGAGCAAACCUCUCACUCGGGAGGCUUAGCUGCAGCCCAGCGCUCGCCUAAGUGGAUUAAGGAAUAAGUCGACUGCAGUGAGCGUCUUGCUUUGAACCUGCAAAAGACAUUUCGAGCCGAAAGCAAUCAUAUUCAAACACCAAAUUCAAGUUCAGAUCGAUACCUAAAGGAACCGAAAGUGCUCAGGCGCUAAGCCUGUUAAGGUUUAUCGGUUACAACUCUACUCGGCAUACCGAGGCAAAUUUAAAGCAUCGAGCUUAGAAGAAGUUUUUUACCCCUCCCGUGGAGGGCUGGAAGGUGCAACAAACUCAUCAAGAUCAAUUCCAUCUGCGAUCCGAGUGGCAGCGGCAAGGAAAGUUUCCAUAAAGGACCUGAAGUCGUGUUUCUUGGUGUUGGCCACCCGGAGGGCAGCCAGCUUGUCUUCUCGCGCAUCUUUGCAGUGGACUCGGGCCAGACACAGAGCAACAUCUGCACCACACCGAGCCGAGGACUUUUUCCACUCCUGCACUCGACCAGGGACAGCGUUCAAACGAGCCAUCAGCGACUCGAGGUCGUUCUGGAGUGUCUCCCCGGGCCAGAGCGUUGAGUCGAUGCGAGAUGUGGUGACCUUCAGCCUUGCAAGAUAGUCCACGGCAGCUGUAACACGGGACUCCAGUCGGAAAACAUUCAUGGCAACUUCGUCGUUCACCGGAGAAUUGACGGGGUCAAGGUUUGGUUCCAGUCGGCUAGUCUCUUCUUCAAAGUUUUGACAAAAUUCUGCAAGGACGAUCACAGAGUCAAGGCAAUGGUCGAAUGAAAAAACCACAGUUGAAAAUGAUUGUUGAGCGUAAAGGUUUACCUUCAAGCAUAAGAAACAGCUUCUUGGCAAGGCCACUCAGGAAGACCUCCAGGUCAUUUUUCUUCCCAAGAACAGCUUUCAGAGUAGCAUUUUCUUGCUCAAGCUUUGUGACUGAAGCUAACUUCUCGUCAACAAGCUUGAUCUUCUCAGCCAGUUCAAGGUCUUUUUUCCUUUGGGCCUCCCUCACCUUACCUGCAAGUUACAGCAAGAUCAGAUUUUGAAACAAAUGAAGGGAAAAAGCCGUCGUCAAGGUCUCACCAAACAUACCUUCGGUCUCCUCCUUCGCCUUCGUCAGAUUCUCCUGAACCAGCUUCAAAUUCAGCUCGAGCUGAAUGUGCUUGUUUUCCAGUUCAGUGUAGCGAGCCGCAAGGUCACAGGAGUUCUGCGAAGAACCAAUCGACUAAAUGUCAAAGAUAAUUCACUUCCGAGUGGAAAAGGAAAAAUCACGCGUUUCUAAGACUACAGCCGAAUUCAAGCAUUCGACCGUAGUCUCGGGGACUACACCCAGUGGGUGCACUCAGCGUUCCCCCACUAAUCCUAUUGAAGACAGAGUCGACCAGUCGACCGGUUUGCGAAAUCCAGUCGCCAUAGUCGAAUGACGGAAAGACUGAAAUUAUGAAGCCUAAGGCCGACUGCCAGCAGUCGACCUUAGCCUUGGGGACUACACCCAGUGGGUGCACUCAGCGUGCCCCCACCGGUUUGCGAAAUCCAUUCGCCAUAGUCGAAUGACGGAAAGACUGAAAUUAUGAAGCCUAAGGCCGACUGCCAGCAGUCGACCUUAGCCUUGGGGACUACACCCAGUGGGUGCACUCAGCGUGCCCCCACCGGUUUGUGAAAUCCAUUCGCCAUAGUCGAAUGACAGAAAGACUGAACUCAUGAAGCCUAAGGCCGACUGCCAGCAGUUGACCUUAGCCUUGGGGACUACACCCUGCGGGUGCACUCAGCGUGCCCCCGCUAACACGGAGUUUAAAUCAACACACCCACUGGGUGACACUCAGCGUGCCCCCGCUAACACGGAGUUUAAAUCAACACACCCACUGGGUGACUACUAUAAAUUCCGGAAAGAAAAGUUUUUGAUAGCAUAUCCUAACAGAACAAACGAUGGUCGACUGACCUGAACAUUGCUUUGGAGGGCGGAACUGGCGUCGUAAGCUGCCUGGCUCGCAUCCCGGAUGGUCCUCAACUGCUCCAUCAUGAUCCCUGCCUGGCGUAUCGCCUCCUUCGCUGCGCCAGCUUGGUCCUCUGGGAUGUGGUGCGUCGUGAAGAGGGAGGGCUGCGGAGCACUCGUCAGCGGAUCUGCGAAGGACACAGUGUGUCGAGUGGCGUUUUCCUCCUCCGCGACCAGAGUCUCAGGCACCAUCACAUCCUGGGGCACCCUGCUGGCAGACGCUUUCCUUCUCAUUCUGUGCUUCAGCGGUUCCUCAUCUUCAUCAUCAUCAGGAAGAGUGAUAAUAACAUUGGAUGGAGCUACAGAAAAGAAUCAGAAUUAGAGAUCAUGAGUCAGUCGACUAGAAACGGUGUUAAGAGUAUAGUACCAGGUUUUGAGGUUGCUGCGUCCUCCAUCUCAUGGUCGUCAGCCCGGGCUGAGGUCUCAGAAGUAGCAGCACUGCGACUCCAAAGAAUCAGUCGACUAACUCCAGCGCCAACCAGAGAUAAAGUUCACACAAAACAAGAAGACUUAAGCAGCAUGAUUACCCUGAUAUGGUGGGGAUGGACACCUUCAUCUUCGGUAGGAGCUUGGUCGGCUUUGACGGGGCCGCCCUGGGCUGCUUCGACGCCUUUUCAGUCGGCGCCGGAGAGGUGGUCCGAGGGCGCUUGGUCGACUGUGUAACAGUCGCAACCCCCUUGCCACGUUCAGUCGCAGGGUCAUGGACAAGCUUCGACCGCCUUUCCGAGCGCGGUGGUGCGACCUCCUCCUCCUCCUCUUCUUCGUCCUCCUCCUCCUCCUCCUCAUCAUCAUCAUCGUCAUCGUCGUCAUCAUCAUCCUCAGCGGCGUCCGAGUCCCACUCCUCCUCCUGGCUCUCGCCCCCGCUCGCUUCUCCCUCCUCGGUCGAAGCCUGUGCUCCAUUGGGCAUCAAGUACAGCUCAGUGAGGGCCUGAUAGACAUCAAGACAAAGAUCAGUCGACCGAUCGGCAGAGAAAACAGAGAUAAAUGUGACGAGAAUACAAUGGGAAGUGGAGCAGACAUACCUUGUUUGGAUCACUGUGGCAGUCGAGUGGAGGAACCCUUCUGGCUCCGCGAGGGUUAUCCUUGUUCCCAGUAACAGCAGCCAUCCACCUUUCCAGAGUGGCAUCGUCGACUGCUUCUGGAUUAACCCGAGUCACAUCCUCAGUCCCGCAGUACAACCACAUAAAAUGGCUCCGGAACUGAAGAGGUUGGAUACGACGCCUAAGAAAAACCUCCAGGAGAUCCAUACCCGUCACUCCCUCCCGAACCAACUGAACUACACGCUCCAUCAGCAUCUUCACGUCAGCUUUCUCCUCCGGAAUCACCUUCAGAGAGGAGGGCUUGUUCACUCGGCCCAUGGUGAACUGAGGGAGUCCACUCGACUGCCCCGGCGUCGACUGAUCCUGGCAGUAGAACCAGGUCGACUGCCAGCCUCUGACUGACUCGGGAAAUGUCAUGGCUGGGAAGGUGCUCUUGAUCCUCACCUGGAUCCCCAGACCCCCACACAUUUGGACAACUCGGGGUUUUUCGUCGCCUGGGCUCGCCUUCUUCACGGUCUGAGAGCGACACGUGAAUAUGUGCUUGAACAAGCCCCAAUGCGGUCGACAACCCAGAAAACUCUCACACAUGGACAUGAACGCGGCAAGGUAGGCGAUAGAAUUCAGGGUGAAGUGGUGGAGUUGCGCUCCAAAGAAGUUCAAGAAACCACGGAAGAAAAUGCUCGGCGGCAAAGAAAAUCCGCGGUCGACAUGGGUAGCCAGAAGCACGCACUCACCCUCUUCCGGCUGGGGCUGCCACUCUUUCCCCGGAAGCCUCGCAGCUCCAUGAGGGAUCAGGCCCUCGUUGGCCAUGUCGAGGAGAUCCUUCUCCGUGAUGGUCGACUGGAUCCAAUCUCCCUGGACCCAGCCUUUCGGCAGGCGAGAUCUAGACGAAGACCCGCCAUGACUGGUGGAUCUCCCCUUCGCCUUCUCCGUCGCUGACGCCUUCUUCGUGCGUUCCAACGCCGCCGUCUUCUCCUUGACCAUGGCUGCCGGCGGGACGCGCGAGGGGUAGUUGUGCAGAGGCGAGAGCGAGCGCGUUGGGCGGAGACGAAGGGAACAGAGAGAGAAUGCUGAGGCACUGUUCAAAAAACCCUCGCCGGGCGCAUUUAUAAGAUCCCUUCCGAGUGGAUGACAGGUGGGCCCGGUCGAUCUAAUCAUAUCCUGAACAGUUACGCGGACGCGAUACGUGGCGAAAAAAGCGGCGCGGGGAUCGAGGCGUCUCUGCCCUGUCCCAUCCGAGCGCUACGGUCCGCCCCGCUUCGCGCGCUUCCCCAAAUUUCGCAUCCCGCGGAAUCCGCGAACGGCAGAUCGGUCUGCCAGACGCGGGAUUUCCUGCGAUCCGUCGCUCAGAAAUCGGCGAAGUCCAAAAGAUCACUCGACGAAGAAAAAGAAUGGAUCGAGUCGACUGAAGAAAAGUUGCUCACUAUCAACAAAGAGAUUUUUUGGUUCAAAGCAACGCACGACCAGUAUGCGAAGGCUAAUCAGAAACAACAUCAACUCCUUCAUCACUCAAGCCUCAAUCCAUUCGGGGGCUAAUGAUGGGGUCAUGUACCUAGGGUAGGGUCACAGACCUGAUCUAAGUAUCCUGCCCGAGGACACCCUUAGAACAGAUCACCUUCCAGUCGACCUACGAGGGACUCACUCGACUGACUUGAAGGACUCGACCACGAAGACUCACUCGACCACCAGAAGGUCAAGAGGCACUCUGCACUGCAACGUUCUGUAAUUAAGUAGUCUUUAUGAUCGUUAAGACACUUUAUGUGGGGCGUUACCUGUAACGCCCCGGACUUGAUGCACCUUAAACCCUUCAUUACAUGGGCUGGCUGGGGUCCUGGCGCACUCUAUAUAAGCCACCCCCCUCCACAGACAGAAGGGUUCGGCACCUUGUAAUCCAUAUACACAUAAUCCACUCGACCGCCUUCGGGCUCCGAGACGUAGGGCUUUUACUUCCUCCGAGAAGGGCCUGAACUCGUACAUCUCUUGUGUUUACAACCUCUCCAUAGCUAGGACCUUGCCUCUCCAUACCUACCCCCACUCUACUGUCAGACUUAGAUCCACGACAGUAGAAGCUUUGAUCGGAGCUGAAAUUUGGUUUUGCCAACUGUAUAGUGAGUGCAGAUAUUGCUGUUGCCGAUGUCCUGUACCCAGUGAGCAAAUUCAAAUACUUUCGUACAGUGCAUGGCAUCCAUUGCAUUUAGAUCAAUUAAAGGAAGGGAAAAAAAGUCAUGGCGUAAAACCGUAAACUAAUGCACACAAGCAUCUCAUUAUACUAUCAUAAUAUGUAAUUCUCAGCUAGAAUUGACAUACAUGGCCAAACUUUUUCAGAUUGUGACAUCAUUUUUUUCAUGUACCCAAGACUGAAAACUGAAAAGGAACUUUCAAAAAGCUACUUACAUCAAUAACUUUGUUCUCUGAAAUGUUGGUUAGUACUAAAAACAAGAAGGCGUCGUUGUCAUUGUUUGUCUAGACAGCAGUACAUAGGAGCUUAUCAAUCUGAAGCUUGUAUGCUGAACUCACCGAUUGCAAGGAAGAGGGAGAAGCUGAUGGAGGCAGGGCUACAGGAAACUGCUGUUGCGCGGCACAGACAGGGAGAAUAAUGAUACGCACGGGUCUUGGACAGUGGACAUCUUUGCAGCAGGAGCCGGGUGUUUGGC